rnacentral:rRNA from 1 species
UAACGAAUCUUCCGCAAUGCACGAAAGUGUGACGGAGCGACGCCGCGUGGAGGACGAAGUUCUUCGGAAUGUAAACUCCUGUCAGGGGAAAGAAAGUUCUGAUCUACCCCAGAGGAAGAGGCGGCUAACUCUGUGCCAGCAGCCGCGGUAAUACAGAGGCCUCGAGCGUUAGACGGAAUCACUGGGCUUAAAGCGUGUGUAGGCGGAAGGGUAAGUACCUUGUGAAAUCCCACGGCUUAACCGUGGAACGGCUUGGUAUACUGCUUUUCUUGAGCAAUCUAGGGGCGAGUGGAACAGAUGGUGGAGCGGUGAAAUGCGUAGAUAUCAUCUGGAACGCCAAUGGUGAAGACAACUCGCUGGGGAUUUGCUGACGCUGAGACACGAAAGCCAGGGGAGCGAACGGGAUUAGAUACCCAGGUAGUCCCUGAGCGGGCUGGCAAGGCGCAU